rnacentral:rRNA from 1 species
GACGAACGCUGGCGGCGUGCCUAAUACAUGCAAGUUGAGCGCUGAAGGUUGGUCCUUGUACCAACUGGAUGAGCAGCGAACGGGUGAGUAACGCGUGGGGAAUCUGCCUUUGAGCGGGGGACAACAUUUGGAAACGAAUGCUAAUACCGCAUAAAAACUUUAAACACAAGUUUUAAGUUUGAAAGAUGCAAUUGCAUCACUCAAAGAUGAUCCCGCGUUGUAUUAGCUAGUUGGUGAGGUAAAGGCUCACCAAGGCGAUGAUACAUAGCCGACCUGAGAGGGUGAUCGGCCACAUUGGGACUGAGACACGGCCCAAACUCCUACGGGAGGCAGCAGUAGGGAAUCUUCGGCAAUGGACGAAAGUAUGACCGAGCAACGCCGCGUGAGUGAAGAAGGUUUUCGGAUCGUAAAACUCUGUUGGUAGAGAAGAACGUUGGUGAGAGUGGAAAGCUCAUCAAGUGACGGUAACUACCCAGAAAGGGACGGCUAACUACGUG